rnacentral:rRNA from 1 species
CCUACGGGAGUCUGCAGUGGGGAAUAUUGCACAAUGGGGGAAACCCUGAUGCAGCGACGCCGCGUGAGUGAAGAAGUAUUUCGGUAUGUAAAGCUCUAUCAGCAGGGGAAAAAAUGACGGUACCUGAUUAAGAAGCCCCGGCUAACUACGUGCCAGCAGCCGCGGGAAUACGUAGGGGGCCAGCUUUAUCCGGAUUUACUGGGUGUAAAGGGAGCGUAGACGGCAGCACAAGUCUGGAGUGAAAUGCCGGGGCUUAACCCCGGAACUGCUUUGGAAACUGUGCAGCUAGAGUGCAGGAGAGGUAAGUGGAAUUCCUAGUGUAGCGGUGAAAUGCGUAGAUAUUAGGAGGAACACCAGUGGCGAAGGCGGCUUACUGGACUGUAACUGACGUUGAGGCUCGAAAGCGUGGGGAGCAAACAGGAUUAGAUACCCGGGUAGUC